rnacentral:lncRNA from 1 species
UUAUACCUUUAUUAUCUAUCUGUUCUCCUUCUUUUUCGGCUCUGCUAAGCCCAUCUGGAGUUUGUUCACAGACUUUCAUUCUAGUUAAUAAAUUGCUCUAUUAUUAUUUUUCUCUUCACCUGAAUAAAGUUUCUUCUCUACAGGACACUGAGCUUCUAUCAUGGCCGCAGCUAAGGAGAUGAAGCCAUGUGCUGUUCCACAGGGCACCUGCUCAUCUGGUCAGGGUGGAGACACUGAUGAGAUGGUGUGGGUCGGGUUCCUAGACUCUCUUCCUGUCAUCGGCUCUGUUAAAAAGGCUGUGGAGUGGGUCCUGGCUCUGGGUGAAGGAGAUCCCAUGCUUGCUGCUGAGAAGAUGAUGGUUGCACUGGGGCUGCAAAAGCAGACCAGUGGAAGAAGCUCUGGAAGAUCAUCUGGGUUCAGCUCAGCCGAUGAAGGGGAUGCAGGCGCGGCCAUGGCGGGAACUGACGCUGCAGUCCAUGGUGUUCCACUCAUCAGCCUGACUUCUUACAUAGAGAACAAGGCACCUAAAGGGAAGAAAGGAUCUGUGUCUCAAAAAGCCGAUCAACAGCAGAAGAAAAUGAUUGGAAUUAAAAACAUGAUAAAGAAGGCGAUUCGCUGUAUAGAUCCAGACUACCAAAUUGACGAGAAGCUUCUUAAAGACACUGGUGUACGUUCUCGAAGAGGAGAGCAUGUGAUCAACAACAAUGUUCUUAAAUUUCACACCAAAAUCCUGACAGAGAGAAGAGUCCAGCGUGAUGUGGAGUGUCCCCUGGAUAAAAGUAUUCAGAAUGAUAUCAUGUAUGAGAUGGUGGCAGAGUUUGAACCAUACGAGCUGUACAUCAAUGUGAACGCUGUGAUUUUUGGAGUUUAUUGGGGUGUGUUAAAAAUCGCUCUGUUUAAGCUGCUGCAUCCAAACAAUUACAUGAUAUUCAGCUCCUUCCCAGCAGUUCAUAACUGGAUGACAGAAAUAAGUAGGACUGAAAAUGUGAACUGGAAAGAUGAGGCCGACCGUAUCAUUACUAACAUGAACGUCCACCAGGCUUAUGUGGAUCUUUUGGCGAAGGAGAAGUGGACUGGAAAUUCACCUGACAACCUUAGAAAGUUUGAAGCUGCUAGACAAAGUGUAGCGGUCAUGUACCAAGUCACAUGUGAAACUCUUUACAUAUUCAGAUUGUACACUCUAAGAACAACCCAAUUUGGGUUAUUUUGGUAA